rnacentral:rRNA from 1 species
UACAGAGGUCCCAAGCGUUGUUCGGAUUCACUGGGCGUAAAGGGUGCGUAGGCGGUUGGGUAAGUCUGAUGUGAAAUCUCACAGCUUAACUGUGAAACUGCAUUGGAUACUAUCCGGCUAGAGGAAUGGAGGGGAGACUGGAAUACUUGGUGUAGCAGUGAAAUGCGUAGAUAUCAAGUGGAACACCAGUGGCGAAGGCGGCUCUCUGGGCCUUUCCUGACGCUGAGACGCGAAAGCGUGGGGAGCGAACCGG